CUUCCGUCGUAUUUUUUCAUGUUCAACGUUUAACCGUCCAUCUUAUUUGAAAAAUUUAUAAAAAAAUUAAAAAAUUAGUCACACAUAAAGUGCAAUUCAUGUUUUAUUAUUUAAUAACAAUAAAAAUAUUGAUUAUAAAAAUUUUUCAAAUAAGACAGACGAUCAAAUAUUGAACAUUAACAAUCAAAACUGCAUUUUUU
rfam:Oryza punctata chromosome 7, whole genome shotgun sequence.